rnacentral:rRNA from 1 species
AGAACGAACGCUGGCGGCAUGCCUAACACAUGCAAGUCGAACGAGACCUUCGGGUCUAGUGGCGCACGGGUGCGUAACGCGUGGGAAUCUGCCCUUGGGUUCGGGAUAACAGUUGGAAACGACUGCUAAUACCGGAUGAUGACUUCGGUCCAAAGAUUUAUCGCCCAGGGAUGAGCCCGCGUAGGAUUAGCUAGUUGGUGAGGUAAAGGCUCACCGAAGGCGACGAUCCUUAGCUGGUCUGGAGAGGAUGAUCAGCCA